rnacentral:rRNA from 1 species
CCUACGGGUGACAGCAGUGGGGAAUAUUGCACAAUGGGCGCAAGCCUGACCCAGCAACGCCGCGUGGGGGAAGAAGGCUUUCGGGUUGUAAACUUCUGUUCUCAGGGACGAAGCAGGUGGCGGUACCUGAAGAAUAAGCCACGGCUAACUACGUGCCAGCAGCCGCGGUAAUACGUAGGUGGCAAGCGUUAUCCGGAUUUACUGGGGGUAAAGGGGGUGUAGGCGGUAAAGCAAGUCAGAUGUGAAAACCAUGGGCCCAACCUGGGGACUGCAGUUGAAACUGCUUUUCUGGAGUGCUGGAGAGGUAGACGGAAUUCCUAGUGUAGCGGUGAAAUGCGUAGAUAUUAGGAGGAACACCAGUGGCGAAGGCGGUCUGCUGGACAGCAACUGACGUUGAGGCGCGAAAGCGUGGGGAGCAAACAGGAUUAGAUACCCGAGUAGUC